AUAAGAUAUAUAUGUACAUCCAUUAUAAUAAGUAUAUAUACUAAACUCAUAGUGGCUUUAUUCAGGAAUUGAA
rnacentral:tRNA from 1 species